rnacentral:piRNA from 1 species
UGGGCUGUAGCCUAGAAUGGACAACGCUUU